rnacentral:rRNA from 1 species
GAUGAACGCUGGCGGUGUGCUUAAUACAUGCAAGUCGAGCGGUAACACUUCGGGUGACGAGCGGCGGACGGCUGAGUAACGCGUAGGAACGUACCCCAAACUGAGGGAUAAGCACCAGAAAUGGUGUCUAAUACCGCAUAUGCUCUUAGGAGUAAAGCUUCGGCGGUUUGGGAACGGCCUGCGUAUGAUUAGCUUGUUGGUGAGGUAAUGGCUCACCAAGGCGACGAUCAUUAGCUGGUCUGAGAGGAUGAUCAGCCAGACUGGGACUGAGACACGGCCCAGACUCCUACGGGAGGCAGCAGUAGGGAAUUUUCCACAAUGGGCGCAAGCCUGAUGGAGCAACACCGCGUGCAGGAUGAAGGCUUUCGGGUCGUAAACUGCUUUUCUGAUUGAAGAUUUUGACGGUAGGUCAGGAAUAAGGGUCGGCUAACUACGUG